rnacentral:rRNA from 1 species
GAGUUUGAUCGUGGCUCAGGACGAACGCUGGCGGCACGCUUAACACAUGCAAGUCGAACGAGAGAAGAGAAGCUUGCUUUUCUGAUCUAGUGGCGGACGGGUGAGUAACACGUGAGCAAUCUGCCUUUCAGAGGGGGAUACCGAUUGGAAACGAUCGUUAAUACCGCAUAACAUAAUUGAACCGCAUGAUUUGAUUAUCAAAGAUUUAUCGCUGAAAGAUGAGCUCGCGUCUGAUUAGCUAGUUGGUAAGGUAACGGCUUACCAAGGCGACGAUCAGUAGCCGGACUGAGAGGUUGAUCGGCCACAUUGGGACUGAGACACGGCCCAGACUCCUACGGGAGGCAGCAGUGGGGAAUAUUGCACAAUGGAGGAAACUCUGAUGCAGCGAUGCCGCGUGAGGGAAGAAGGUUUUAGGAUUGUAAACCUC